rnacentral:rRNA from 1 species
GUGAUGUACUCCUACGGGAGGCAGCAGUGGGGAAUGAUUGCAAGCAUGGGGAAACCCUGAUGCAGCCAUGCCGCGUGUGUGAAGAAGGCCUUCGGGUUGUAAAGCACUUUCAGUCGUGAGGAAGGUAGUGUAGUUAAUAGCUGCAUUAUUUGACGUUAGCGACAGAAGAAGCACCGGCUAACUCCGUGCCAGCAGCCGCGGUAAUACGGAGGGUGCGAGCGUUAAUCGGAAUUACUGGGCGUAAAGCGCAUGCAGGUGGUUUGUUAAGUCAGAUGUGAAAGCCCGGGGCUCAACCUCGGAAUUGCAUUUGAAACUGGCAGGCUAGAGUCUUGUAGAGGGGGUAGAAUUUCAGGUGUAGCGGUGAAAUGCGUAGAGAUCUGAAGGAAUACCAGUGGCGAAGGCGGCCCCCUGGACAAAGACUGACGCUCAGAUGCAGAAGCGUGGGAGCAAACAGGAUUAGAUACCCUGGUAG